GCAAGACUCCGUCUCAAAAAAAUAAAUAAAAACAUAAAAAAUAAAUAAAUAAAAAGCAACCCUGGCCUGGAAGGUCUGUCAUCUUAGGUAUAUUUUUAACCAAGAAGUCCCAUCACCCUAAUGAGAUUCUGUAUACUUUGCUGCCCAAACCAUAACAGGUCCUCCUCCAAUAACCCAAAAUAAUUCACAGAUUGUUACCGACUCUACAAAUAUCUUAUUUUAUAAUUUUUCAGUCUUAUGAAUCAAUUUCAUUUCCAAGAGCCCUGUUGGGUAAGUAGCCCAAUUUCUGAACACUCCUCUCUUGAAGCUGUUGCUAAGAACCCACCAUCCCCAGCUUCUCAGCAUGGUAGGAACCAUGACUUAGCCAUUGCCUCCUCUAUGCCUAGUACUAUCCUAGGUCCUUCUUUAAACCAUUUCUAUCCCUCACAGUAACCCCAUGAGGAAGAUAUUAUUUCAAAGUCAGGCUGAGGAGGCCAAACAUCAGACCAGUUGUGUAACUUGCCCCCGGGUCCAUGCAGUGGGUUGAGAGUGAAACCAGGAUUCCUGGCAUAAAGUCUGCGCUUUUCCCACUCAUUCCACGUAGCUCCUAGUGCUUUCUUCCAUGGCGAUGGCAUUGAAGUGCAGAUCCGUCUUCUCAGUCCUGACUCCUAGACUUUUCCCUCCAACCCCCAAGGUGAUGGGAUAAAGAGAUAGGGCCUUUGGGAAGUUAGUGCUGUUAUUAAAAAGGCCCCAGGCUGGGUGCAAUAGCUCACGCCUAUAAUCCCAGCACUUUGGGAGGCUGAGACAGGUAGAUCACCUGAGGUCAGGAGUUCGAGACGAGCCUGGACAACAUGGUGAAUCCCCGUCUCUACCAAAAAUACAAAAAUUAGCUGGGCAUGGUAGCACACACCUAUAGUCCCAGCUGCUUGGGAGGCUGAGGCAGGAGAAUCUCUGGAACCCAGGAGGUGGAGGUUGCAGUGAGCCGAGGUUUCAGUGAGCCGAGAUUGCGUCAUUGCACUCCAGCCUAGGUGACAGAGCAAGACUCCAUCUCCAAAAAAAAAAAAAAAAAUUAAAAGGCGCCAGAGAGCUGCUUUCUCCUUCAGCCACAUAAGGGCACAACAACAAGGUGCCACGAAGCAAAGAGCCCUCACCAGACAUGGAAUCUGCGGGCGCCUUCUCAGCCUCCAGAACUAUCAGCAAUAAAUUUCUGUUGUUUAUAAAUUCCCCAGUCUAAGAUACUUUGUUAUAGCAACCUAAAUGGACUGAGACUGACACCCAUUGUGUAAUAUAACACUGAUGAUAACUGUUCCAAUCACUGGGCACCUACCCUGUGUCAGGAACUGCAUUUAUGAGCUUUAGGUGUUGACAGUAACCAUAUCGGGAGGUAUUAAUAUUCCUUGUUUCCGCCUUUUUUUUUAGUGUGCCAUUUGAUUCCAAAUGCUAUGCUCUUCCCACUUGGCUCUUCUGUUUUGUUUGUGCAAUCUGGGUUCGUCUCGGAAGUGUGUAUUUAAGGUUCUCUCCAGGUUAGAGAGAAUGUGGCAGCAUGCCUGAUGAUGUCACCCACUGCUUCUGUUAUACCCUGCCCAGCUUACCCCUUCCCUCUGGGCCUUUUAUAGGACCUUGUAUUUAGUCCAACAACAACAAUAGCACAACACCCAUAAACAAAACACCUCUGCAUAUAAUACAAUGUACUUGCCUACUUGCUGACUGAAAGAGCUCCCACAGCCUCCCAGGUGCUGCCCUGCGCUUGGAGCAAAGCCUAUCUGAGGCUGAAGAAUGAGUAAGUCACCACCUGAAUCCUGCCCUCCAGCCAGCUCUCUUCAUCAUGGAAAUUCUUGGAGCAGAGUGGAAGGGAACCUGAGAGGAGAGAUGGCACCUUCACUGAUUCCUCCUUUAUCUUUCCAGACUUCAUGGCUGAGACAGAGCUGAGAGCAGAGAAAACAGACUCAUAAAAUCCUGGCAGAAUCUUUCCAUUCUAAUAGCUCAAGCUUCCCCUAUUGCACAGAAGAAAUGCAAGCCUCUUCCCUUCUGGAAUCGCACCAUGGGCAGUACUCCAGAGAGUGGAAACUCUCUGACACCAAACAAGGGACAAUUCAAGAAUAAAUGGCACCUGAGUCCCAGGAGGGCAAAGCAGAGUGAGAAAAGAAUUAGUGAGUGAUGUGGAAAGGACAACAUCCUUUCAUCCCAGAGUCAAAGCCCCGGCAAGCCUCCAGGCCUCAGCGCUCCCUCUGUCUUACAGCACAAAAACACCUUUUGUGGAUGGGAAAGGACUCAGGACGUGAUCAGACUGGCCUGCUGAGAGUAUCAUAGGGAAGUGCUGGAUGGGUUCAUGGAAAGAAGUAUACACAGAUGAGGAACAGCAGAAAGGCAUGAGAAAAGAGGAAGGUAUGGAAAAGAGUGAAAUUGGCAUAAAAAAUCCAAUAAAGGGCAACGAGCAGGAAACAACAAAAACAUGGGAAACUGCCGACCUGAGGAAUCGCGCUCUUCUAACUUUACAGCUUCACCUGCCGUGUUUGCUCCUGGAGGACUGAGACUUUUGUCUGAUUCGUCUGCUGCUGUCUUCCCGAUGCCUAGAACACUGCCUGAUGCACGGGAAGUAUUUGUCAGAUACAUCCCAUGGCUUCUAAUGCCAUUUGCAAGGAUGAAAGCUGGGUGUGCCCGGCUGUACGGCAAUACUUCCAAAGGCCUGUAGGACUCCCCAGUGACUGUCCCAUUCACCAGGAGGAGGACUGCAGUCACCUGCAUUGUCCUGGGAAGGUCAGCCAGGCCUUUUCCCAAUGUCUGUCUGGGAAAAGCCCCGGUGUAGUCUGCUCGGUCCUACACCCAGAAUCACGGGGGCUUCAGGAGCAGGCAUUACGAGGCAAGGAGUAGCUUCUCCCCCUCACCUCCCACUCAGCAGAACGCACUAGCCCUGUGCUCUUCUGAUCCUGAAGGCAGCUGAGUCUGAAAAGUUCCUGUACCUUUAAAGGUACUAGAGGCAGUGUGGUGCCCACUCAGGAACUGCAUGAUUUAAAUAGGUUUCUAGGAUAAAGGCAACUCGUAGCACAAAGGAACAAGUCCCAGGGAGUGGCAUUCCAGAUCAUUUGAUUCCUGAGCGAAGGAAUUAUUAUGGUGUGGAGGUGGGGACCUCCUUACUACAUUCCAAAUUGCAAUAAGGUUGUAAGGGUUUUCUCUUCCAUUCUGAAGUACUUUGACAAUAGUUUUGAACUUCAAAAAUGUUUAUUAAAGGUGUUUUCACAGCAGUUUCAUAAUGUUUAAUUUGUUAAUUACUGGAAUUGAUGCUAAAUAAAACAGGCAAGUAAUACUUCAGAUGGCUUCAUCUUCAGAGUCUUCUUCAUGUGUGACUCAAAAUGCACAAUUUUGGCCGGGCACAGUGGCUCACGCCUGUAAUCCCAGCACUUUGGGAGGCUGAGACAGGCGGAUCACCUGAGGUCAGGAGUUUGAGACCAGUUUGGCCAACAUGGUGAAACCCCAUCUCUACUAAAAAUACAAAAAUUAGAUGGGCAUGGUGGUGUGUGCCUGUAAUCCCAGCUGCUUGGGAAGCUGAGGCAGGAGAAUUGAUUGAACCCAAGAGGCGGGGCUUGCAGUGAGCCGAGAUCCCGCUCCAGCCUGGGCAACAAGAGCGAGACUCCGUCUCAAAAAAAGAAAAAAAAAGCACAAUUUCAGGACAGCCUAAGCAAAUAAAAAAUGGGAAAUGGAAAUGGAUUCGAAGCAGGGAGGACGUUCCGCCCACUGUCACACCGAAGGAAUGGUGGAGGCUGUGAGUCCUCCGCCCACUGUCACACCGAAGGAUGGUGGAGGCUGUGAGUCCUCCUGUAAGCCGCCGCUGGAGAAGGGGCAGCUCUGGAACCUGACGACAUUCUCCUAUCUUGCAUGAGGUGGAGACAAAGAGUCCUUCUGCGCUGGGACAGGAUGAGGGCGAAGUGGUGACUUCAGGUCAGAAGCAGAGCCUUGGGGACCUCUGAUUCUCAAGGGCGAGCUCCCUCCAGAACCCCAAGAGAUGGCCCUGACUGCAUGGGAAAGCGUGUCUCACCAUUGCAAUGUUCUCUAAGUCUGGAGGAGGCGGAGCCCAGUGAGAAUGACAGGCAGACCGCAAGGAGGCCCGGAAGCCCCCCAUGGCGAGGAUGCAUCCAAGUGUAUUCUGUAGGAGUGACCAGUGGCCACGUGGGUAGUGGGCAGAGCUUGUUUUCCUCCAAUAUCAGCGUACAGAGCAGGGGAGCCUGGUGAAGGUUUCUCUCUGAAAUCAUGGAUUCAGCUGUAUUAGUUUCUAUCCAAGGCUGGCAUAGCUCACCUUCCACUCCAGCAAUGACCUCGGGCCAGCUGUCACGAGCCUUCUCACCACGAGGAUGGUCUGGGGUGGUGAGAUCUCACUGUUGGCCAUAAUUCAUUCAACAUUUCUUCACUUCUCUGCUUGUAAGUUUUCAUUUCCUCUGCAGCUGGUAGCUUCUGUCAUUUCUUUUCCUAUUUAUACCAGUCCUGAAUCAGCUUCUUUUUCAGAACCAUGCAUUUCUCUCGGUAGAGGUCG
rnacentral:lncRNA from 1 species